rnacentral:rRNA from 1 species
UACGGAGGGUGCGAGCGUUGUCCGGAAUCAUUGGGCGUAAAGGGCGCGUAGGUGGCCCGGUCAGUUCGUGGUGAAAGCGCGGGGCUCAACCCUGCGUCGGCCAUGAAUACUGCCGCGGCUGGAGCACUGUAGAGGCAGGCGGAAUUCCGGGUGUAGCGGUGGAAUGCGUAGAUAUAUGAAAGAACAUCAAUAUGGCGAAGGCAGUUAACUAUUCUGUUACUGACGUUGAGGCAUGAAAGCGUGGGGAGCAAAACGG